rnacentral:rRNA from 1 species
AGUGAACGCUGGCGGUAGGCCUAACACAUGCAAGUCGAACGGCAGCACAGUAAGAGCUUGCUCUUACGGGUGGCGAGUGGCGGACGGGUGAGGAAUACAUCGGAAUCUACUUUUUCGUGGGGGAUAACGUAGGGAAACUUACGCUAAUACCGCAUACGACCUACGGGUGAAAGCAGGGGAUCUUCGGACCUUGCGCGAUUGAAUGAGCCGAUGUCGGAUUAGUUAGUUGGCGGGGUAAAGGCCCACCAAGGCGACGAUCCGUAGCUGGUCUGAGAGGAUGAUCAGCCACACUGGAACGGAGACACCGUCCAGACUCCUACGGGAGGCAGCAGUGGGGAAUAGUGGACAAGGGCGCAAGCCUGAUCCAGCCAUACCGCGUGGGUGAAGAAGGCCUUCGGGUUGUAAAGCCCUUUUGUUGGGAAAGAAAAGCAGCAGGUUAAUACCCCGCUGUUCUGACGGUACCCAAAGAAUAAGCACCGGCUAACUUCGUG